GAUGAACGCUGGCGGCGUGCCUAAUACAUGCAAGUAGAACGAACAGACGAGGGGCUUGUUCCUCUGACGUUAGCGGCGGGCGGGUGAGUAACACGUGGAAAACCUCCCUAUAAGACGGGGAUAACUUCGGGAAAACGGCGCUAACACCGGAAAAUAUAUUGAACCACAAGGUUCACUAGUAAAGUACAGUUUUACCGUUACUUAUAGAUCGAUCGGCGCCGCAUUAGCUAGUUGGUGAGGUAACGGAUUACGAAGGCAACGAUGCGUAGCCGACUGGAGAGGGUGAUCGGCCCCCCUGGACCUGAACCCCGCUCCAGCCUCCUACGGGAGGCAGCAGUAGGGAAUCUUCCGCAAUGGGCGAAAUCUGGACGGGGCAACGCGGCUUGAUUGAUGAGGUUCUCCGGAUCGUAAAACUCUUUUAUUAGGGAAGACCAAUUGUGUAAUGAACUAUGCACGUCUUGACGGUACCUAAUCAGAAAGCCACGGCUAACUACGUG
rnacentral:rRNA from 1 species